UACGUAGGGUGCGAGCGUUGUCCGGAAUUAUUGGGCGUAAAGAGCUCGUAGGCGGUGUGUCGCGUCGGCCGUGAAAACCUGGGGCUCAACUCUGGGCGUGCGGUCGAUACGGGCAUCACUUGAGUUCGGCAGGGGAGACUGGAAUUCCUGGUGUAGCGGUGAAAUGCGCAGAUAUCAGGAGGAACACCGGUGGCGAAGGCGGGUCUCUGGGGCCGAUACUGACGCUGAGGAGCGAAAGCCAUGGGUAGCGAACAGG
rnacentral:rRNA from 1 species